rnacentral:sRNA from 1 species
AAAAGAUGAAACUCGGAAAACCACUCGCGUCCUGCGAGUAACGCCGAGUACCCUCGUCACGAGGG